rnacentral:lncRNA from 1 species
CACAUUGCUGCAUCAAAGUGCUCACCACCGUUUGUGCCUCGUUGGGAUCCAUGAUUGUAAAUUCAAAAAAAAAUUAUUUUAGAUCUCGUGCAUAUAAACCGUCCGGGGAUUGUAGUUUAAAGUUUAAACUUUAAAGCCUUCUAAUACAUGAAUCGUGUGAAAGUUAGUGUUUGGUCUUCCAGCAUGCUUCAGGAAAAUGUGAUGAUCAGGACCCUAUGUCAAUUAAUAAUGUUAUCAUGAGAUUAUUGUUGCAGAAUACACUAUUUAAUUAUGAUAAAGAAAUCGGUCUGAUCUAACAGGACAAACCAAAAG